AAGUCGUAACAAGGUUUCCGUAGGUGAACCUGCGGAAGGAUCAUUACCGAGUUAGGGUCUCUCCUGCGAGGGCCCGACCUCCCAACCCUGUGUCUACACAAACCAGUACGUGUUGCUUCGGCGGACCGGCAGUCUCUCGCGAGGCCGCCGCCGGGGAAGAUUCCACUUCUACCCUGGAGAGUCGUCCGUCGAUGGCCCCAACCCCCCAAAAACUCAGUAUAACAAAUCGUGGAUAUUUUCUGAAUCACACCUUUGAUGUAACAAUCAAAAAUUAAAACUUUCAACAACGGAUCUCUUGGUUCUGGCAUCGAUGAAGAACGCAGCGAAAUGCGAUAAGUAAUGCGAAUUGCAGAAUUUCCGUGAGUCAUCGAAUCUUUGAACGCACAUUGCGCCCUUUGGCAUUCCGAAGGGCAUGCCUGUUCGAGCGUCAUUAUCCUCUCUCAAACCUCGGGUUUGGUGUUGGACCGUGUUGGACGCUCCCGUCCAACUGGUCUCAAAGACAAUGACGGCGUCCGUGGGACCCUCUUCGCACUGAGCUUCUCGGAGCACGCGUUGAGUGUCAAGGUCCCCCGGGCCCGGUCACACCUUUUGUAUCAUUUUCAGGUUGACCUCGGAUCAGGUAGGAAUACCCGCUGAACUUAA
rnacentral:rRNA from 1 species